UUUUCUUAACACCAUUAAAAGAUAAAAUGUUAAUCUACUGAAAAAAGAUACAUGACCUUUUAAAAGUGAACUGCACCACUUUACAGUCUGCCAUCAUUAAAGAACUUAAUGCUCAGGAGCCAUGCAUUAUGUGUAUCAUAACAAUAUAAUUGUUUAGAAUAAUGUAAUUGUUCAACCAAGAAGAUAUAUACCAUGCAUAACAUGAGUUGGAACUAGAUCUAUGUGAACUUUGAAAACCCAAUCAAAAUAACAUGCCAGAUCAAGGCUUAAUUUCAGUUUUAAUCAGCCUCAACCUCCAAUUUAUUUUUUAUUAAUAUGCCAAGGUACAUGCCUAGAAGAUACCAUUUUAACAAAGAAAAAAGAUGGUACUGUGGGACAAAUGAAACCACAUUACUGGCAAAGGAAGAUGUUUAUCUUCCUCUGCUUUAAUCACCUUAUUUUUUUUCAGUAUAAGGAAAUAAAUGUGGCACUAAUAUUUUAAAUAGUAGUAAGGAAUUUCAGUAGCAAGAAAAUACUUGAAAAUGGACUUAACCUGUUUGUGCUAAAUCGGAAUCGUCCUAAAGUACACUUCUCAAAAGCAAUAGCCACUUUUCAGAACCACAUUGAAAUUUGGUUUAAACCAGAAUCAGUAAAGUGCAUCAGAGAGCAUUUAGUUUUGAGUAUAGGUUAAUUUGAUUUCCCUUAAAAUUAAGCCUCUGUUCUGAACCCUGACUACAGAGAACAAAUUCAGUGCAUGAUAUAGGUUCAGAUAACCUAAUCUCCUGGUGGGUUCCAAGUUUUAGAUGAAGCCCCUUUAAUAGAUUUGAGAGCAUAGCUGUGUGAUAAUAUGGCUACUUAAUAACUACAUAGCAGAGGAUAAUAGAAAGCCCAAGUGUCUCCUUCAUUUGAAUAUGAUGUUCUGCUAGCACUUUUGAUUAUAUAGGACAAAAAGCUUUUCUACAGAGUAAGGAUCAUAUUCUUCUGAUUUCAACCUAAAUUCCCCUCCUUGAUCUGUUUUCCCCAGUAAAAUGGCUGGAUGAUUCUGCGUUGGAUGAGAUGUCUCUGAACAUUCAUAUGUUUUUCAGCAGCAUUUGCUCUAUAAGGUCAUUGAUAGUGAAAGCGAGCAAUAUGUUUCCUGGUGUUCAACCAUGUGGCACUUCACUCGUCACAUCAUACACCAGAUAAGCAGCUGACAGUCUGUGCUGCUCGGAAUAGCUUGUGCGUGCCAUCUGAAAGCCGUGAGACGGAGGACGGAGGUGCAGCCAACAGAGGGAGUCGAUGGCUGCACAGCACUGGCCAUCCAACCCCUGCUUUGGAGAGGAGAAACAUGGACAGUUUUGUAUUUGUGGUCAAAGAAGAUUUCAGGCUCUUCUCCCACUUGUCCAUUGGCGUCUCUGAGAGGCCACGUGCUCUUCAGCUCCCAAGCUGCACGUUGUCUGCCUGGCAGAAGUUUAGUUCCAGCUCACCAGGAGGAAGUGGACCCCCACCAGAACACCAGCUGUUUUCAGGAAAGUUCAGCCCUUCUUCCAUUUUCUUAUUUUUUUAACGUAGACGUGGAAAUCUGAUCUGUAGCAUUUGCCUUUUUGUCUACUAAGUAUAACUACCAAGUAGCAUGCAGAAGCUAUAAUUGCUAACACUAAUUAACAGUACCAAAUAAAACAUUGUGGAGAACACCUGCUUGUUCUUUUACGCUAUAGAAGUAAUGUUUAAAAUCUCUUGUGCAUACUCAUAACUUGUUACCCAACAUAGCUAGAAUGAUAUAGACCUCAUCAACCAAAGUGGCAUUCCCUUCAGACUAAGAAAGUCCUAGAUCUCAGCAUUGGUGAAUAUAAUAAAGAGAAAGAUGGUCUUUUCUCUUUGACAGGAGCAAGCUGUCACAGUGAUAGUGAAAUGAGAUACAGAAGAAAAAAAUUUCAAACUGUUUUUAGACACAUUCAGGCAGCACGUAAAUAGAAUAAUAAAUCUGGCAAGAAAGACCUGUUUAUUUUUUGCACAAAAGGGCUAAGAAGUUUGGGGUGUUUUUUUCCAUUUUAAAGCACGAUUAUUUUUUUUCCAGCUGAAGCCAGCACAGUAUUCCACAGAGCAGCUGUCCACAGCAAGAAACUCAUCAUUCACUCUCUGAUCAGCACAUACAUUCUUGGUGAGACGGGGAGGAGUUUGGCAGGUCUGUGUUUUUAUCUGCAGUUGUCAUCUGCUGCAAAAAGUCUGGAUUUUAGAGGGUCAGACUUACAGACAACCUAGGGGUACAACAGGUACUUGAGACUGUUUGAAGUUAUCCAGUUUGAAAACAAAAGCUCUUUCCAUGUAAUGGUGAAAAAUGCGAGACAUACUCAAGAGCUGUAGCAGCCAGUUUGGGGUAGCGCUUACGGAGACCUUCAGCCCUCAAGAAGAUUCAAGUCCUCUUCAGCCUGGAAGCACACAGGCCAUGGAAACAGCACCCUGACAGCAGAGCUUCUGCCAGCGGAUCAAGCAGCAAGUGUCCGUGCUGAUGGUGCCGAAUUCCUGUGUGCCAGCACUUGGAGACUGUUGACCGUGAGGUUUCUGUGACACUCCUGUGAACCCUCCCAGGGACAGAUGGAUUUGCUCUUGAAUGGCUCCAUUCUUUUCUCUUUGUGAAUAGAGUGGGCAAUUGUUAAUUUGCCCUGACUGCUGUCAUGCACCACAGGCUCCUGCUUUGUCACCCGCUCCUGCUGACCAUGGCCUCCAGGCCAGGAGGUCUCAUAUUCUGGAAAUGUGUGUACUCACUGUAUGUGUCCAGAGUGUCUGUUGGGAGGUGGCUCUGGCAGCCAAGCCCUUCCCUUGGUUGUGCUUCAACCUGAGACUUAACCAGGAGGUGUCCAGCAAGCUGGCUUGGCAGAAACCACCAGUGGAACUUAGAGAAAUUAAAUUCCUGUUUCCCCCACACUGAGGAAUCCUAACAAAAACCCUGACAGCAAAAGUGAUCACCCUUGGAUUUUGCAGUGUUUUGAAUUCAUAUAUGACCCCUUCCAAAAUUACUCUUGGGUUUUACCUUUUGAUUUGGAUUACUGACAUGUGUGCUACCAAGACAAUGUCUGAAGACUGUCGGGGAACUUCCUGUAAGAGCACAAAUCAGGUUCUUGAUCUCUUGUUCUCUUUAGGGUACGCUUUGCUUGCAGGCUGCUCUCAAACUAUGCACCAGCUACAAAUAAAAAGGGAGUAUUCUGCCAUCAGCCCCCCAAAAUACUUUUAUCCUUCAUUAUGUCUCUGCAGACUGGAUCAGCUAGUAUUCUUCAUUUGUUAUUAUUUAGUUAAAGGUCUCUCUUCCUUUACUGCCCUUAAACACAAUGUAUGUUUUCCCUCCAGCUUGCUGACCUUUGAGUUAUGUAGCAGAGCUGUUUUCCAGGAGUGUUUCCUAAGGGUUGAUUGGUCUGAAGGAUUUUAGGCAAAAGGGGUUAUAUUUCCAGUUUUAGAGUCUGUGAAUGCCUUAUUAGCAGACACCGGAUUACGUAGUAAUUUGUCUAGAGGUUAGAACAGGUGCAACAGCAUAGUCUCAGAUAAAUAAGGCUUAAAUUGCAAUUUCUACCACAGGCAGAUCAAUCUGUGUAAUUUAGGUGACUUAACUUUUAUAGCUGGUGUGCAAGGAAAAUACCUUUCUUAGAGCAGUGACUGUAAAUUGAUAGCAUAAUUUGUGUUGUGAAAAUUGGUCACCGUAUUCAAUUGUAUAUAAGAAAAGCACAGUGUUUCGAACUGCACCCACAAAAUGUGUUCUAAAAAGGGUAUUCAUAUCUGUGAAGAUGUUUCUUCCUAUGAUAUUAGACUUUGGGGGUUGUUUUUCUUGCUUGUCCAGGAAUUUGGCAUGUGCCACAACAGCACAUCUAAUUAAGGUUUAACUGAAAUAAUUACUUGUUUCUAAGUUGUUUUUUUUUUUUCCCCAGUUAAAAUGUGUAUCCUAUUCCUCAUGGUUUUCAUCCAUCCUGGCACCAGGGGGAGAGCGCUUUCUUUGGCCAGCUUAACUGGCAGCGAGAGCUGCCUGCUUGAGUACUUGCUGCCAUUCAAAGAGACCUCUCAUGAAAAUGCAUGCUUGUCCUCACAACUCCUUCAGUAACUGUAAUAUUUCUCCCUUACUGUUUAUGUCAGAGAGUCAUUACUGGAAGCCGCUGACAUUUUUGACAUUCAGUAGCAUCAGAGCACAUUAGGUGGUCCUUAGAUAAUUUUUAGACAAAAUUUACUUGUAUCACAUGCUCAGGCCAUUACAAGCAACAGAAGAGAUAUGUUUCUGUGCAAAGAUAUAUCGGUCAGUACACUCACUUUUUGCAGACCUUCCUAUAUGAUUCUAUAGCAGAACAAUUUUAACCAUGUGGUAUGGAAUGCAUAAUACACUGUCUACCCAGGCUGUGCAUGCUUUCUUUUUGGCUUUUGUGGAAGAUCAAUCUCUAUUAGGAAAUCUAUUAUCAUCACUUGUGUUUUACUACAAUGAAAUAAAUAGGCAGCUGCGGUUGUUUGGCCUAAUAGCUCUUACUUUGAUUGCUAGAAGUAGGAAAUCAAUGCCGGGCAAAGGGAAGAAACAUUUUUAAUAACUUACACUUCAGAUAUGAGAUCCCCAAGUUAUUACAAAUUAUAAGGUUAAGACCUCUUGAAAGAAUCCUAGCUAGUUAAAUAUUUAAAACUCCUGGGUGAGAACACAUGCACUAAUGAGCUUCAGGCUACUAAAUACCAGAAUCUAGGGGGAGACAUCUUGUUUUAUAUUAGAAAGUAUUAGUGAGUAUAAACCGGCCAUAGGAAGUGUUUAAUUAAGAAUUAUAUUGAUAUGGGGAAAGCAGAGAUGGAAAUAUUGCUGAUUCUACUAUUCCUCACUGUGAAAAGCUGGAUUUGCCUGUGUAGGAAGGGCAAUAAACAAAAGCAGCCCUGGAUCAAAGCAAGGGACCUGUGGUAUGGUACCCCAGCCCUCUCCACGGCCCUGGAGAGAGAUGCUGGACACUUCAGACUGAACAUGGAUAGAACCCCCUACUGAGGUUUCCUUUCAACAGACAUCAGGCUGCAAGUUGCCUUAGACUUUUGAUCAAUUCUGCUAAUUUAAUAAUAGUUGUUCUUGGGUGAAAACUCUAACACAAAUGUCAAGCUGCUGUGCAUCUCACAAUUCUCCCACCCCAGACAAUAAAGAACUUCAUAAAUCUUUGAUUCUCCUCUCUUGUAAUCUUGUAAUUCAGGAAUUUAGGAACAUAAGAAACCUGUUAAUUGUACCUGGCCCUGUUACACUCACUAUCUUAACAAGAAUUGAAAUGAUUGAAAUGUUGCAAUUCAAAUGGUAAGAAGCAAAGAAGGGAGUUGGGAUUAACAGUAAAAACUGGCUUGGCAUGAUUAAGCACCAAGUAACAUCAAGCCUUGUCACACAGAUAUUGCAGGAGAAGGUUUGCUGCAUUGUGUGCACACACACGUAUUUUAUGUAAAAUAGCCUCAGUCUGUCUCCUCUCUGAAACCAGGGAGUGCGAGUGGGUAAACAGCUCAUAGCAACAGAUGAAAGGCUGGUGAAGUUCAGACUCCCAGUUCAAAGGUUUCAGCAGUAUGUGAAAUGACAAUCUGGGGUUAUUUGUGUUUCCGAGCUCAUGUGUAUUUGAAUUGUUUGCUCAUCUACAGAGGCUCUCCAUUACCUUAUUCUUGGUUGUGUUCAUCAGCUGAGCGAGCUGGCUGACUGCAGAAAUAUUUUGUAAAGCAACUUCAGGAAAAUUUAUUUUGCCUGCCUCAUGGUGCCCUGCCUCUGCCCACAAGAAGAUCAGAAAUACUCUGUUUUAAUUGAUGAGGAUAAAUUACAGCAACACAAAGCGAGCGUCCUGCUCGCUCCAUGUAUGUCUCCUGCCGCUUGGUCAGCACAGGUCCACAAUUCCAUUUUUAAAUCAAAUUAUGCUUGUGAUAAUAUUGUCUUGAGCUUACAGUUGCUGACAUAGAUAUUGACAAAGGCUUAGCCGGUAUUUUAAUAAGAAAACAAAAUACAGGAAAUACUCUAGAGUUUCCAGGUGGAUCAUUAACAAGACGCCUUGGAGGGCUGAGGCUGCCAGCCAGCACAGGGAAUGCAUCACAGUUCGUCAUACAACUUAAACUUCUUUUGACAUCUAGUUAUGUCGAAAUGUGACUGAUCACCUAGGGGUCCAGGCUCCUGUGAGGGAAAAGUUCACUGACAGACAGCGAACGAAGCUGAUCUUAAAUGAGAAUCAAGAGAAAGCAGCAUUCCAGCGUCUGACAGUCUGCAGCUGCUACCUGGGUCUGCCUAACGAAGACGAGCCUGCUCUGCUGAACAGUUAUAUUAGCAUCUGUAUGCUUCUGUCUCAUUAUCACACAUCUGCCCACCUUUAUUCCAAUGAAGCUUCUUCUGAUCUGACAGCUCAGGCAUUGUCAGUGAAUAGAUAUUAUGGGAGCCUGGUACAGCAGCUUAGGGUGUUAGCUUUUAUUUUCUAAAGACUGUUGUACAGUUUGACAGUAUAAUGCCACAGAGGUAAAGAAGAUAAUUAACAUAUUGGGCAGUUUCUAAACAAAGCUGAGACAGUUAUACUGGCAAAAGUGCUGCUGCUGGAGCAGUAUUGUUUGCACUCCAGAAAUAUCAAAGCCUUGCAAGAUCUGCCUUUAAAAAAAGAGAAUGUGAACAGGUACAGUACUCCACAGACGGGAAGUUUUGGAGAUUUGCCCCACACCUAAUAACCACAAAACCUUUGGUGCGCUUGAAGAGCCCAUCACAUGUGUUCAAAAUCUCUGCUUGUUCAGGCAAAAUCUCCCUCAGCGUUUCGGCAGACAUGAAAAGGUAUAUGUGGAGAGGAGGAGGUUGUGGGUCUUUCUGCUUUCGUGAAUUUAUUUUUACCCCACAGCACAAAGCUGAGCACUCCUGUGAGCUUCACAGAGCUUAUAUUUGGAUGGAGAUUUGAGCCUUCAGAGUUGGAGAUCACAUGUGGGAUUUUCUGGAAAUGCCAAAAACACAUGUGAUGGAGGUUUCAUAAUUUGUCUACUCAAUAAUAAACUAGAAAAGCUUGCUUAAAAAAAAAAAAAUCUCUACACAAAGAAAAGAAAUAUAGUACUGCAGUGGAUUAGUACACAGUUUGCCUUUGGUUUUCACCAGGUGCUACAGUCUGUAUAUUUUGGACAGUGCUGGACUUGAAUGGCAACUUGGCUUCAUAAAUAUUUGGAAUGUGAAGCACUUUAGAAAAAUACAACCUUUAAAAGUUAGGAUGCUUCUUAAAAAAUAGUGAAUGGGCUAUACUGCAGCAAGAGCAUCCCUGAAAUUGCUUUUCAAGCCUUGGUUUGUGUUUUAAAUGCCUUAAGUAGUAACCUAGAGCCCCCCGCCCACAAGCAAUGUUGUAGCCAAAGACCAGAUCCUCAGCUGGUUAGAAUGAGUUGCUCAUUUACAGCCAAAACACUCCUUCCUGUUCCUGUAGCAAUAUGCAGAUUUACCCUGCUGAGAAUCUAACCCUAAAUUUCCAAGUAGUUAUGGACUUCCCUCAUUUCAUUCAUGCCUUUCAGUUCACUGCCUUUUCUUUGUUCUUGAGAGCACAGGGUGUCUACAAGUUAAUGUUGAAAUUACUGCUAUUUUGCAACAAUACAAUCAAAGUCAUUUCAGCAGCCGCACUGAUAAAGUGAAAAUAGCUCAUUCAGAUUGGCUCCAAGACCUGUGCUCAUCAAAGUUGGAAUACAAAAUAAGAGAUUCAUUUAUAAAAAAAAAAAAAAAAAGAAGAUAGAAUCCGUUGUCAUUCAUUCUAAAAAGGCAUUACAGACUGCCAACACUGUACAGGAAAAUAGGAGAUGUUGACCUUUUUAUUAUAGACUUUUCUGUAGCGUUGCCCUCCGUCCCCCCCGCAGCCGCGCACACCCGUGCACCCACACACACACAUACGCUCCUCAGCUCUGUGUUAUCUCAAAUAAUUACCCUGCGCUUCUGGCUGUCCCUGGUGACUUCUGCUGCUAAAAAAGCUACUCAUUGUCGGUGAGUGAAGAGGGAUUUCAAACCUGCUUCUUGUGGCCCAGCAACAGCUCUUAAUUAACCACUCAGGUAUUGAGCCGCCUCUCGCCCGGCACCCGUCCAUAUGGCAGGAACAUGUCCGCAGUGAUAAUCACUGAAGGAAAGAUUGUUUAAAAAAAAUAAAAAAAUAAAAUAAAAUAAAAAGAGGGGGGCUCAAGGAACAGAAAGAUCCUGCAAAUUAUUUUUAAUGAUUCUCCUCUUGUGAGGUGGAUUAUUUGUUAUUUCCAGCAGGGCCGGGGAAGGGGCUGGGGCAGGACGUGCCUGUCCUUGACCCGCUGGUCCCUGUGCCUGGAGAGAGCCUGGUCCUUACCCACCACAAAACCAGCACCCGGGGUACCGAGGGACCCCCUUCGGGCACUCUAAAAAGCUUUAGUUCCCUAUGAUUUUGAUAAUCCUUUGUUUCUAGUGCCACUCGCUUUUCUACACACUGGAUGUACACGUUUCCUGCGAGCAACGUACUUGAAAGAACUUGCAGCCUUGACACAGACCCACACUUUUUCCGUCCCCUUUGGUUUAUAUAGAAAAGAAAACAGCGAUUUGAGUUUAUAAAUCUAAUUAAAAAUGAAGUUGCAUUUACAUUUUAAAACCUUGCUUAUACCAGCAUACUGUGUCAAAAGAUAUUAUGUAUGAUUUUACUUUGUGACAGAAACCAUUACAUUUAAAAAUUCAUUACAGCAAGGUUAGUUAGACACAUGAUGGAUGCAGCUUUAAUCCUGCCAUAUAUUAUUACAGUUAAAAUGUAAAUGAUGAAAAAUAUUUUGUGCUUAUCAGCGUUUAUGUGGAAAUGUGUUUUACAGUGAUAUAUGGUGUUAUAUUUCUAUUAUUAUGAUGAGAAAGAAUGAAAUACAAAAAGAGUAAGUGUUUAUUAAAACAUGGUUACUUGUGAUAAAAUAUUCUUGUUGUACAUGACUUUAAACAUAUUUACCGAGGGCAUUUGUCCAAAACAACUGUGAAAUGUGUUUGCUAUGCAAAUCAUUCUUUGUAAUUUUUUUCCCCUCUGUUAUACUGGCUAUAGCUUUUUAAUAGCCUAAUGUGGAAGCUAUGUAAAAACAUUAUUAUUAUUUUUCAUUUCAGAUGCAGAGGGGGGCAAUGACAGGGACAGGCUCUUUUUACACACAUGCAUGUAUUCCCAUAGAUGGAAGCAUGCAUAAAAAAACAGACAGAAAAUUGAUCCUAGAAAACAAAUCCUUUUCCUUUCUGGCUCCUCUCAUUUCAGCCUCGAUCAGAGGCAGCCAAGCCCUUCAUCAGAGCCGCCUUUCAGCACAUGCUGAUCCGCGAGCACACGCAUGGUCCUGUUGACGCCAGAGAGAUUUAACACCUCGAACAACUGAACCUUUAACUCUGGCUUGUUUUACACCCUCCUCCCUCACAUACAUCAUUGCUGGGGGCAUUCAACCCCUGGGCAGGGAACUGAACUUCUUUCCCCAAGGAAGACGAGUUUAAAGUUGAGUUUGUGCUUCAGAAGAGUCCUGCCAAGGAAACCUGUACAGCCUCCUCCUAAUUUGAGGAGUAACGAGCUUUGAGGUCAAUAUUGCAUGUUACAAAUCCCCAGGCUAAUUAAGUAUUUUUAAGAAUUCAUUCUUCAACAGUGACCCUUCAAGAAGGGUUUCUGACACUGCGAGCUUGGUCUCCACAGGCAAAAACCCAGCGUAAUGUUGAGCAGAACAAUACAAAGGCAUAAAGGCCAUUAAGCGAUUUGCCCAGCAUCCCACAGGAAGUCUGUGGCAGAAAAUAAAAACUUGAAGGUCCUUAAACUUGGGAACUUAACCAUUCCCUAUAUAUUUGUAUUCCCACAUGUGCUCUGUCCACUGGGUUUUCGGUGUUUUGGGUUUGCUGUCCCAGUACAUCCACGGGCCCUGGCUGCCCACUGCAGUAUUCCACAAGGUAUCACUUUACACCCCAUUCACCCUCACUUGCUGUUCCUUACAUUGUAUUUCCACUGUUUAUUUCCUGGACAUAUCUACUACAAGCUUAUACUCUUUGUUUUGUUACUUUUUAUGUAUCUUACAUAUAAUAGAAUCAAACAUAGUAUAUGUUUUCCACAUUAUUCGUGUAAUUCUUCCAGUUUACAUUUUUGUCUCUUCAAAAAAAUAAAAUGCUUUGAGUUUGGCAUGGUGCAGUAAUCAGGCUGAGAUUCCUUCUAGUUAUAUGAAGCUGAGCCCAUCUUUAGCAAGUCAAAUGCACUUACUAAAAAAACAACUAAAUAACUCAAAAUAUUUAUUUGUGAUCAAGAGCAUAUAUACCCUUCAGUCCUCAAUGCCUUUCUUUUGAUAUGAGCAGGAGACCUGGUGCUUGUAGUUCACUAAAGUGGCCAUUUCCUUAUAACCUUCCUCUUGUAACAAUGUUUAUUCAGUUAUCAGGGAAGAAAUAUCAUUUGUCCAUGCAGCUACAAUUACCCAAUUUGUUGUAUAAAUUAUUACUUUUUUCCCCCCCCUCAUCUCAGUUGAUGACAGAAUCAUUUAAUAGACUUUCAGUUGCUCAAGCUUGAAAAUUGGUUCCACAUUCUCCUUUUUUUUAGUUUUCUUCCCUAGGGUGAGUGCAAUGUGGUCUAAAUACAAUUUCCAACCCCCCCUCCCCUUUUUUCUUUUUAAACAUCUGCUUGUAUGAGGAUGUUGUUGUGUACAUUAGCGCUGUACAGUUUAGCACCCUUUAGGACUCCCUUUGGCUCUCGGCUUCCUUGCUCUCAGGGCCAAUCAUAAUAUAUCAGGAACUGUAGAUAUUUCCUAUCUCAGCACUCCCCAUAACUCUUUUGCUCAGCUGUCUGAAGCUGUUUUCUUUAGGAAGUCCAAAGCAAGGGGGGCCGGUUGACCUGGCAUCGGUCCUAUUUAUAAGAAUAAACUCUCUUCCCCAUACACCUUUGGAGCUUUGGCAUGUAGGGGUCACAUCCGUUUAAAUUAAUAGCGAUAGGACCCGUGACGGAACAUGGCCACCUAACCUUUAUUGUCCCAGCUACCCUUUUGUUUGAAGUUAUCCAACCUACUCAGCUGAUUUUCUUCAAAGCUAAGGUUACAGGAUUCGCAACUGUGUCUUUGCCACAUAAUUAAUUAGGAAGGAAAAAACAGCUAUUAUUACAUGUAAGAGGGUUUUUUUAGUCAUAUGCUUAUUUGUUUACUUAAAAAAAUAUCAGCAUUUGCUUUUAAAUUUUUCCCUCUCCUGCUGUUGCUGCUGAAGUAAAUGCCAGUCAGGCUUGUUUGGUUGUAAUAGGAGUUACUGUGUGGUUGUAGGAAGAAAUGUAUGGAGCAGCCAUCUCACUUCCAGCCUGCGAUCUAAUUGCUUUUCUUAGAAGUAAUGCCACUUCUGCUUCCGUGGCACUGGAAAAGUCACAAAGUUAUGAUCUUCCCGCUCAUGAGUCAACUUGGUUGCCUAUGAAAUCUAUUUAUUUUGGUUUUAAGUCUAAGAAUAUUUGCUGAAAGCAGGAUUAUCACUUUGUAGACCACCAACAGCUGUUGAAAAGCAGGGCAUAAAAGUUUAUGUCUUUAAUAACCCACUUAAUGAUGGAGCAAGCACAUUAUUCAUGAUAAAAUAGCCUGGCAUAAUCUUACUCCAGUGUGUGGUGUCAGGGAAUUAAGAAACAUCUGGCAUGUCAUAAAAUAACUUUGUAUAUACUAUGUACAUUAAAAACAUGUGUAUACACAUAUGUAUAUUAUAUACAUUAUUUAAAGCAUCUCAGUGGAAUUCUUCUCUUUUUAAUUACAUUUAGAAAAUACUGAAAUGGUUAAAUGGUGGUGGUUUUACUUCUGAAUCCGAGUUUCAUAGAACAGUUUUGGCUAUGGCUAGUUAUAACGGCAAGGGACAGAAUACAAUAUUAGAGUACAUGUAAAGACAAAGGCAAAGUUUCAAGUCUUGAAAUUGGGGUUCAAAAAUCCAUUUUUAGCCUCCAAAUAAGUAACUUAAUUUUCUGAAGCACAAAGCAUUUGUGGGUUCUUGACCUGAUGAGAGUGUUGGUUGCUCAGCAACUCUGAAAAAAAAUAUCAGGCCAGUAUUUCAGUGCCUAAACACAGAUUUUUAUUUACAAUGGAGGCAUCUGAAUUUGCAGCUUUUAUCCAUAGGAAUUAUUUGCAUUACUCCUGUACUGGGAAUGGGGACCCUGCUGUGCUGCUGCCAUACAUGUGAGGAGAGCCCCUGCCUCUGCCUUGGAGAACGUGGAGUCAAAAAGGACCAAGUAUUCCUGACUCUCCCUCUGCACCUGGGACACUGGGGACAGGGGGGUGACACACAUCACCCUGGAAGUGUCUGAGCAUCGUGGCUCCCAACCAGCAAAGCACAUAAACAUGUCUUCAAAUUUAAGCGUGUGAGAUGUAAGUGGAACUACUUGCAUCUUAAAAUUAAAUACAUGUUUCACUAGAUCAGGCCAGAUGGUUUUACAUGCUCGAAAGUGACAUUUACAAGGUCACAUAGGAAGCGUUUGACAGAGCCAGGAACUAAAACCAGAUCUCCUGAGUGCCAACCCAGUGCCUUAGGUUUGGUCCUGUCCUUUUUGUUGUUGUUGACAUGUUUCUCUUCAAUACAAACAAGAAGGGAAAAUAUUAAUCCAAUAAAGAGACAAUUAAGUUUUCUUUUUUGUUGAGGGUUUUUGUUUGUCUGUUUUGGGGCUUUGGUUUGGUGGUGGUUGUUUUGUUGGGUUUUGUUUGGUUUUUAAGAAGGGCUGGGAACCCAAGUGCCACUGUUUAAAACAUCAGUACUUUCAUUUUUUCAGAAAGGUACAUAUUUCUAUAAAAUUCUUAAUUUUUUUUCUUCUAUCUCACAAGAACAUAAGCAACCUAUUUUCAUUUUGUAGGUGGCCCACAAAUAAAAAAAAGUUAUAAGUUAAUAAAAUUUUUAUGCAGAUUUAUGUGAACUGGAUGAACUCUCCUAGUAUCUGAAUGUCAAUCUGUUGGAAAAUAGCUGCCAUGGAACUGGAAUAAGUCAACGUCAUACAACCGAGCGUACCAACAGCAGUUCUCUCAUUGACAUUUCCCCCACAAGUGCCAAAACAAACACGGGAAACUACUACAGGGAAAAACCCAAUGAACUACUGGAAAGGCAGCUGUGAUAUAUGUAAGGCAGUUUCUUUGGAUUCACCUAAAUCUCAGCUUUCACCAAUCUAUCUAUUUUCCUUGGUUGCCUCAUCCCAGUGAAUUAUUUUGGAUGCAUUUGAUUUAAUCUGUCUGGCUUUACUGGCUCUAUUCUUGACAUACACCUACGUUCUUUGCAGUGUCCCAUUCUGCCUCAGGUUUUAACAUCUCUUUAGCCUUUCUGUCCUUGUCCAACACAAAUACAUACCUCAGCACUGUGAAGAAGCACUCUAGGUGAAUUUUUUAAUUCUUAUUAACAUUCAUUAGGCCAAGGUCUUGCCCUAUGUGUGCAAAGGGAGGAAGAAGCAGCCUCACUCUCUCAUAGGACCCUCCUACUACACCAGCAAACUACAAAAAGGUAAAAUAUGAGCAUAGGGUGCAGGUUUUUUGUAGUGACCUCUCAUUUUGGAUAGCCUCUGUAUUUCACUAUAUUGUGUUUAAUGGACCUCUAUGCAGAGAGUUUUCAUAUCUGUGACCAGUUUACAAAAAUUCUUUAAAAAAAUUGGUAUAAUUUAAAUAAUGUGUUUAAGUAAAUACACCCACUCAUCUGUGGAGCCUGAGGAGCAGGCUCAGUUUAUUCUUUUUGAGGGCACUUACAGCACCAUCCCUUCAAGCUGUCCAGCUCCACCACCCCUGCACAGCGGCUUGAACAGUGUCUAGACACCUCCCUCUCCAUCUCGCUGUGUGUCUGACCCUGACAGAGUUACACAACACAGAUAAGUCCACCCACAGCACAUCUCAAAUUUCGAGAAAAUCCUAUUUUGCUAGAAAAUAAUUAAGUGAUUUAUAGAUUAAAGUUUUCACAGAGAUUUAGGCUUGAUGCGGAACUCUCUCUUGACUGCUUUGUAUGAAACCAAAAUAAAGCCUAGAAUCUCCCAAAGAAAGUGUCCUCUAAAUCUUUGGACUUGUUUCUCCUGCAGUGAAGACCAGUCAGCUCAUUGUGAACAUUAGGGAUCCCAGUGGAAAGAUCUUGUGCUAAGCAGUAUAAAACAGUUUGCUUUCAAGGUACACUUAACCUGCCACUCAGGACAAACAUAUAUUGUCCCUUGUCAGAAGGGCAGGCACAGAAUCCAUCAAUAAGAUAUGUAUCCAUGCAUUUCUGGUUUUCUCAUCUUUUUUUUUUUUUUUUUCUAAUAUGAACCUAUUUUGUACCCAAGAACAGCUAUACAAGGAUCAGAGCAAAUGUCAGGUCCAGGGAAGGAGGUGUUCCUUCUCCACCAGCAGCAGACACUUAGGAAAGACCAGAAACAGGUAUCUAGAUGCUGCUGCAUCCAUAGCACAGCUUCCUCCAUUCAGCAGCCAGAGCUGGUACCUCAAUUGCUUUUUAUAGUGCUUGAUAGAUUUCUCACCACCUCCCCAUCCAUUACUUUGCAUAACAAUUUUAUGAUUCUAUAAUCAGUUUUUAAGGCCAUGUACGCUUUUGGUAUCCACAACAUCCUUGGGCAUUGAAUUCCACAGUUUCAAUAUGUCUUAUGUGAACAUGCAUAGAGUUCUUAAAUUCCUGUUCCAAUUAAUUUUUUCAAUGACACUAUUAUCUUCUAGACCUUUGGUGUACCCUGUACUUCAUUCAGGCUGCAGAAUCAUCCUGUAUUUGGAUGCACCUCAGUCUCCUGUGUUUCAGAUGUACCAAAUCUUCAUUGGUAAAUCAACAAAUAGUAUUUACCUUUGAGAUAAAAUGAGCACACACUACUACCUUUAAUGACACACAAUACAAGCUUGAGAAAUAACAGUAAGAGUUGAAAUAUAAAGAUUAAACUCCAAUACCCUUCAAAGGGUAAAGAAUAAAAGGUGAGACGGAGGCAUUGGUGCCUCCCUGCUUUCCCCAUAUAGGUGCAGAAACCCAGAACAGGACCAUAGGAGGGUUCCCUUCCUAUGUGCUCCCUCUGUCCAGUAGAUUGGGUUGAAGGCUCUUAAAAUAUUGUGUGGGGAAAUUCUUGUGCAUAAAAUCAAGAUCUAAGUCAGACAAGAGACUGAAUUGCAAACUUUAAAAAUAUUAAUUAGCUUAAUUUUAUGUGAUUCUAGCCAGCUCCUCUAUUUGGGGACUUCUUGCCAGGAGCCAAGUGCAUACUGGCACUUACUGGGAGAGCUGGAAAGCUAGUUCUAGCAUAAACACCUAUCACAGCUUAUUACAGAGGGUAAACAGCCAAUGUUAUUAGUAGAUGAGCAGGAAAGGUAGAUCAAUAUAAAGAAAUACUGCUCUCAUUCACUAUUCCCUUUGUCACUGCCAGGCCUCAGAAUUUUUCAGUUCAUUGAUGUCAGUAAGGAUUUACUUCCCUGCCCAAGGAGCCAGGGCCAGAUUAUUCCCAAGCUGCAGCAGAUACUGAUCAGCAUGUAAACUGACUUGGGCAGCUGUGUAAGAACAUAAAAUUUAAGAUCACAGCAACUUAAAUACCACUCAGGUUUAUAACAUUCACAUUGGUAUUAGGCAACUUGGCAACCAAAGUGGCCCAAACAUGUCUCCUUCCACUGCAACGCUUGGUGAAUACAUUGGAUUGGUUAGACAGAGGGACUAUCGUGUUUUCAUUAGCUGAACAAACACCCAGCUCAAACCAAGUCUCUUAAGGCUUCUGGAAACAUUUUAUUCACAGGGGGAAGCUCAGGGGUUAAACUCUGUUCAACAUAUCCACUCCCCCACUAACACACCAUUAUUUCAUUUGCAGAGCAGCUUCCUCACCAGCAGCACGCAGAGCCCAUCCUCGCACACCUGGAUGGUCUGGACGGUCUAAUACUUCCAGUAAGCUGUGGCUUACACCACUCAGACCUUCUCAUCGCCAUUAUCACCAACAGUUUCCUCAAUGGAAAUAAUCAUCCACAUCAUAACUUUUGCCAAAACCCUCUGGCACCAGAAAUACUCUUAGACUAAAUGCCUGAAGCAUGCAAGAGCCUGAGCAGCUGUAUCAGCAGCACGACUGGCCAGCGAGCUGGGUUUGAACCACGCGAGACAAAACUUUCCUGGAGAAGAACUACACGUUGCUUUAUAUGCACAUGUAGAAUGACAUUUUGUGUUUAAUAUCAACCAGAGGUAGGCGUCUAGAUCUGCCUGGACCUUACAUACAAGUUCAGCUGCAUGUUGACAUGCUCUCUUUACAUGUAUUUACACACAGACAUACUGGUGUCUGUGUGUGCAAAUCUUUACUCAGUGUUUGUACACCUUGAGGACCUCACUCCCCAAAUGCAGCUUUGGAGUUACCUACCAUUAAAAUUAUGAGCAGAGAUAGUUAAACAAUAAAGAUUUUCUUCUCAUCAGACAUGCCAUAUUCAAAUACAAAGCCUCUUGCCGUCAAAAACCGUGACCGCUUUAGAAUGAACCAGCUCAUUGCAUUUUAAACACACCCAGUCAUAGAAUACAAUACAGCAACUUAGCCUGAAUUUUAAACAAAACCGAAGCACAACAACAUAAUGUAUCAUAUAGUCAUAUCACUUACCUUACAUCCACACAGUGCUUCCACCUUCUCCAGGAGACCAGAUGGAGAAGCGUUUCUCAAAAACCAAGCAGCCACCAUGUGAGGACUUCUCAUUGUGGGCAUUGUGGCUUUGUUCAGGUGGGCACAUGUGGACGCAAUCACCAGGCUGGUGAUUAAACAACCUGCACCUGCUGGGGAGGCAGCUCUGCCUCUCUGCCCCUUCCCCAUCUGGGCAGUGCUGUCUGGGGUGAGCGUGGUGUAAGAAACAAAGAUUUUACUUGUGUCCAGGAUUUAAAAAUGAAACCUUACUGUUUGGCUUUCUGCCUUCUGUUUUCACAUCUGUGGACCCACAAGUAACCCCUCAUACAGUCCCAUCCCUGCAUUUGCUGGCGUACCUGAAACCUGCAAAGGUUUAGAAUGAGUUCAAAUACUUCAGUUUUUCACACAUUCUAAUUUCAAAGGUGGCUUUAAAUGUUUUAAGCCCCUCUGUGGGUUUAAACAUUUUGAGUUAAAACAAGCAAACUGCAUCCGUUACUUUUGUACAGUUACAUUGUGUAACUUGAUUACCUGACAAAAUAUCAGCAGCAUGAGGUCCUUUACGGGUCACAGCUGAGCAGGAUUUUUUGCCUGAGAUUUUUCCCAUUUACGAGCAGAAGUAGAGAAUUAUUCUUCUGGGCAAUACCCAUGAACUCUAAUUUGGAAAAAAAGAAUACAAAAUGCAGCCAGACAGCCCCAAAAGAGCCUGUUUGUCCCUUCAGAUAAAGCAGAAGGCACGUAAAAUCCUGUCCCUUUGGGCCUAAGGCCACCCAUCCCACCCCAAGACACAGUCUGGGUGGCCAGUUCUCACCCUGAUGUCUCAGGCUACCAUCCGAACUGUUGCUACCAUUGUUGCAACCAGGCUGCAAUUAUGGAACUUGAUGAUACUGUAAAACACUCCUUUUUGCAGUUUGAUCCAGCACCGCGUAGAGGUGAACCGCAUGUUACUCAUCACACCCCAGACUACUUCCUGCAAAGAGACUUUAGACCUGUAGGGUAUUGCCACGAACCAUAUGUUGACCUAAAGAAAAUGGGAAGAGCAACAGUAACUCCAAAGUGUCAGAAAAUAUUCAACAUUCAAACUUGUUUUCACAUGGACCAAAAGACAUGCCAUAUUCAAAUACAAAGCCUCUUGUCAUCAACAACUGUGACCGCUCUAGAAUGAACCAGUUCAUUGCACGCUGAAGCAACAUUGUUGGUCAAGAAACCAGUUUCUGGCAUAGCGCUAUUUGUGGUUACUUUUGCCUUCUCUGAGAGACUGCGAACAAUAAGAUAUAGAUAUUAACACCUCGUGAAUACGUUUAACUUUCCAUUUAGCUAUAGCUUUAUUCAGCAUGACUGUAGAUAGGGGCAGCAGCAAACAAUCAUUGGAGCUUAAAGAACACUUUUAAAAUAAGCACCAAGGCCUCGUAUUUGUCCUGAAACUGUUUGUUUUAUUUUCAGGGAAUACUGUUUAAUUUAAUUGCCCUGAUUUAAUUGUCUUGAUUUUAAUUGUCUUGAUCAUGGGAGGUGGCUGGGGCUCUUGUGUCCCAGCUGGCCCCCCUGGCACCAGGAGAUGGGAACGCUGUCCCCAGCAAGGGCAGGUGGGCAGCCCAGAACCCAUGUGCACCCACAUCUCCUCUCCCAAGAGCCUCCACCGAGCAGGGGAGCUGCACACCCCCAGUCAGGCUGUCACAGCUGGGUUCUGUGGGGUUUGGGGCAAAGAGACACUCUAUGAAACUCAGAAAAGAAAGCCCAGCUCCUUGUUAGCCCCCAAAAAUGCUCUGCAGCCUCCGAACCCUGCGGUGCUCCCAACCCGUGCUGACGGCGAGUUAAUUAUCAGCAUGCGCUGCCACUGCUCCCUGUGUGGUCCUGCAGAACCAGCCAUGGUGGUGGCUGCCAGUAAUGAGGAAAACUGGUGUGUUUUUGUUUGGUUUCCUCUUAAAUAAACUCACAGUCCUUAAUCUAGCAGGCUGGAGUCCCAACUUGACAGCCCAAUGAGUAAUGAGGUGCAAGUGAAGACAGGAUGUAGAAUUAGGAGGUCAGGACUGAAGGUUGCCCCAAAUUUAAUCUCUAGGUUGGGAAGGUUACAUCUCUUCCUCACGCCAUGGUUCUUGGGCAUGGAGUAUAGGUGCAGUUUACCAGGGCAAUGGCUGCUGCGUGCUGGUGGCAUACCUGGGGAGCCACAGAGGGUGAUACCCCACUGGUCCCCCCCCUGCUGUCUGGGACCAACCCAGGAGGCUUUUGGUCUGAGGCACCAGGAGCUGCCCACAGCUGUGCCCUGGGCACCUUGCACCCACCUCUGCUGUCCCACCUCACCUUAUGGAGACACGUUGUUCUGAUGCUCACAUGCAGGCAAACAAAUGAUAUAUGCAUAGCUGUAGAGAUAGAGCUGAUAAAUAACUACAUAUAUUAAGUCAUUUUAAAACUGAAAUCUUUCUUCAAAAUAAAGUCAAAAAUACUCUUCUGUAUCUUUUCCUACUUUAUACCCACUUGCCCAGUUCCUCCUGUUCCUCCUUUCCAUCCAAAGGCAGCUGAUCAGGCAAUUUCCUUCACCUGCAAACUGCCUUCUUUAAAAAAAAAAAAAAAACUAGAAAAACACAGCACCCCAGGCCAAAGGCCUGAAGCUUUUGUUUUUGUUAGGCUGAUACACUGCAAAUUUCAUUUUUGAUUUAUCCCUUUUGAGUAGAUGUACAGGGGGUCAUGAUAGUGGGUUAGUUGCACUCUUGCAUACAAU